UACGUAGGGUGCGAGCGUUAAUCGGAAUUACUGGGCGUAAAGCGUGCGUAGGCGGUUCGUUAAGUUCGUUGUGAAAGCCCCGGGCUCAACCUGGGAAUGGCAAUGGAAACUGGCGGGCUGGAGUAUGGCAGAGGGGGGUGGAAUUCCGCGUGUAGCAGUGAAAUGCGUAGAGAUGCGGAGGAACCCCUGAGGCGAAGGCGGCGUCCUGGCCCGAUUCUGACAUUCAGACACGACAGCAUGGGGAGCGAACGGG
rnacentral:rRNA from 1 species